GGGUGCGUAGCUUAAUGGAUAAAGUGAUGGCUUCCGGCGCCAUUGGCUGAGGGUUCAAGUCCCCCCGUGCCCA
rnacentral:tRNA from 1 species